GGCCCUCAAGCUCAUUUGGUAUGAGCAAUCGACUCAUAAUCGAGAGGCAGAUAGGUUCAAAUCCUUCGGGGGCCACCA
rnacentral:tRNA from 1 species